AUUGUGUGACCACAGCAGCUGCUCCUGACGUGAGAGGCAAAACAUCAACUCGGUAUCUCCGUGCCCCACCUUAUGCUUUUGCUUUGACUCUCAGAGUUACGUGGAGCAGAGCACAGACGCUCACGGACACACACAGCACAAGGCAGUAGCACCCCAAGCUCCCAGGUACCUGUCCUCUCCUUGCGAGCAGGCUGCUCGCUUUCUCCCUCCACCCCCAGAGCUCUGACUCUUCAAUACGAAGACACUGAGAUCAUUGACGUUUAUGUUUCACUUUAUAAUAUGUGACGCAGCUAAUGGAGAUGAUAUUGACAGUAUUUCUAUUUUGUCAAAGCUGGGGGCCUGACCCUGAACAGAGAACCUUUGGUAGCAGCCAUCUCAAACUUGAACUUGAAACUUCAGAAGAACUGAGAGAAACCAAGAGGUCUGAGAUGUAUUUAUGAUUGGCUUUCUGAGGACAAAGGGAUGAAGGUUACUUCUGAACUGGCUCCGCCCCAGUCUUCACAAGCUCCAUUCAAGGGUGUUGAGCUGUCACUGACACAGCCGAGGACUGCAGCAGGGGGCGAAUAGCGAGUAGGAAUCAGGGAAAUUUUGUCACGGUUGCUGUGUCAGGCUGAGACCCCCAACUACCUCCUUCAGGAAGCCUUCUCUGGUUCUCUCUUAGAAGCUGAGCAAAAUAC